UACGAAGGGUGCAAGCGUUACUCGGAAUCACUGGGCGUAAAGCGUGCGUAGGCGGUUGGUUAAGUCUGCUGUGAAAGCCCUGGGCUCAACCUGGGAACUGCAGUGGAUACUGGCCAGCUCGAGUGUGAUAGAGGAUGGUGGAAUUCCCGGUGUAGCGGUGAAAUGCGUAGAGAUCGGGAGGAACACCAGUGGCGAAGGCGGCCAUCUGGAUCAACACUGACGCUGAGGCACGAAAGCGUGGGGAGCAAACAGGG
rnacentral:rRNA from 1 species